rnacentral:rRNA from 1 species
AACGAACGCUGGCGGCAGGCUUAACACAUGCAAGUCGAGCGCUUCACCUUCGGGUGGGGAGCGGCAGACGGGUGAGUAACGCGUGGGAACGUACCCUUCAGUUCGGGAUAACCCAGGGAAACUUGGGCUAAUACCGGAUACGUCCGCAAGGAGAAAGGUUUACUGCUGAAGGAUCGGCCCGCGUCGGAUUAGCUAGUUGGUGGGGUAAAGGCCCACAAGGCGACGAUCCGUAGCUGGUCUGAGAGGAUGANCAGCCACACUGGGACUGAGACACGGCCCAGACUCCUACGGGAGGCAGCAGUGGGGAAUAUUGGACAAUGGGCGCAAGCCUGAUCCAGCCAUGCCGCGUGAGUGAAGAAGGCCUUAGGGUUGUAAAGCUCUUUCAGC